AGUGGGGAGAUAGCAUCAUCAUGAAGGUGGUUUUCCCAGGGCAAAGUUAAUCCACUGCACUCUGGGUGUGCUGACCCUUGCGAUGUCCCCAAGUGCAGGAUUUUCUCCACU
ensembl:snRNA U1 U1 spliceosomal RNA